rnacentral:rRNA from 1 species
UCUGCCCUGCACUUCGGGAUAAGCCUGGGAAACUGGGUCUAAUACCGGAUAGGACCCUCCUUUAGUGUGGGGGGUGGAAAGAUUUAUCGGUGCAGGAUGAGCCCGCGGCCUAUCAGCUUGUUGGUGGGGUAAUGGCCUACCAAGGCGUCGACGGGUAGCCGGCCUGAGAGGGUGGACGGCCACAUUGGGACUGAGAUACGGCCCAGACUCCUACGGGAGGCAGCAGUGGGGAAUAUUGCACAAUGGGCGGAAGCCUGAUGCAGCGACGCCGCGUGGGGGAUGACGGCCUUCGGGUUGUAAACCCCUUUCGACAGGGACGAAGUGAAAAUGACGGUACCUGUAUAAGAAGCACCGGCUAACUACGUGCCAGCAGCCGCGGUAAUACGUAGGGUGCGAGCGUUGUCCGGAAUUACUGGGCGUAAAGAGCUCGUAGGUGGUUUGUCGCGUCGUCUGUGAAAUUCCGGGGCUUAACCUCGGGCGUGCAGGCGAUACGGGCAAUACUUGAGUGCUGUAGGGGAAACUGGAAUUCCUGGUGUAGCGGUGAAAUGCGCAGAUAUCAGGAGGAACACCGAUUGCGAAUGCAGGUCUCUG